UCGUAGGUUAACCUGCGGAAGGAUCAUUACCGAGUGCGGGUCCUUUGGGCCCAACCUCCCAUCCGUGUCUAUUGUACCCUGUUGCUUCGGCGGGCCCGCCGCUUGUCGGCCGCCGGGGGGGCGCCUCUGCCCCCCGGGCCCGUGCCCGCCGGAGACCCCAACACGAACACUGUCUGAAAGCGUGCAGUCUGAGUUGAUUGAAUGCAAUCAGUUAAAACUUUCAACAAUGGAUCUCUUGGUUCCGGCAUCGAUGAAGAACGCAGCGAAAUGCGAUAACUAAUGUGAAUUGCAGAAUUCAGUGAAUCAUCGAGUCUUUGAACGCACAUUGCGCCCCCUGGUAUUCCGGGGGGCAUGCCUGUCCGAGCGUCAUUGCUGCCCUCAAGCCCGGCUUGUGUGUUGGGUCGCCGUCCCCCUCUCCGGGGGGACGGGCCCGAAAGGCAGCGGCGGCACCGCGUCCGAUCCUCGAGCGUAUGGGGCUUUGUCACAUGCUCUGUAGGAUUGGCCGGCGCCUGCCGACGUUUUCCAACCAUUCUUUCCAGGUUGACCUCGGAUCAGGUAGGGAUACCCGCUGAACUUAAGCAUAUCAAUAAGCGG
rnacentral:rRNA from 1 species